AGGUGGGUUGGGCCUGGAAGAAGAGCCUUCGAAGCCUCAGGAAACCAAGAGGUGGGUUGGGCCUGGAAGAAGAGCCUUCGAAGCCUCAGGAAACCAAGAGUAGUGUUGAGCCUCUAAGAAGAGCCUUCGAAGCCUUACGAGACCAAAACGUUAGUCUGACCUGCUUUCUUGAAAAGCUCCUAUUGAGCUGAAAUUAUACAGACACAAUCAGUAAAAGAAGCUACUUGUGUUGCAGGUGGGUUGGGCCUGGAAGAAGAGUCUUCGAAGCCUCAGGAAAGCAAGAGGUGGAACGAGAGGGACAGUGACCGCAUAAAAUGGACGUCAGGAAACUCCAAGGUGGAACGAGAGGGACAACGACCGCCUAAAUUGGACGUCAGAAAACUCCAAGAUGGAAUUCGAGAGGAACAACGACUACCGAAAUUCGGUCGCUGUAAACAUUGCCAAAAAGGACGGGAUGGUGGUACUUCAAGAACUUCACCGCGGAAGACUCCGUCGGGUGUCAAUUCUUUCGUUAUUCAGUUGCAUUUAAUAUGCGAUUAAAUUUUGUCUCUUUGAUUCAAUGUUUA